rnacentral:rRNA from 1 species
UAGGGAAUCUUCCGCAAUGGACGCAAGUCUGACGGAGCAACGCCGCGUGAGUGAAGAAGGAUUUCGGUUCGUAAAACUCUGUUGUUAGAGAAGAACAGCGCAUAGAGUAACUGUUAUGCGUGUGACGGUAUCUAACCAGAAAGCCACGGCUAACUACGUGCCAGCAGCCGCGGUAAUACGUAGGUGGCAAGCGUUGUCCGGAUUUAUUGGGCGUAAAGCGAGCGCAGGCGGUCAAUUAAGUCUGAUGUGAAAGCCCCCGGCUCAACCGGGGAGGGUCAUUGGAAACUGGUUGACUUGAGUGCAGAAGAGGAGAGUGGAACUCCAUGUGUAGCGGUGAAAUGCGUAGAUAUAUGGAGGAACACCAGUGGCGAAGGCGGCUCUCUGGUCUGUAACUGACGCUGAGGCUCGAAAGCGUGGGGAGCGAACAGG